AGUCUCCUCAAAUUCUGCACACAUAAAACUUCAGAGCCUGGGAGCGACCCAUGAAACGCAGGUUUUUAAGGACAAAACAAUAGGACAAAAGUGCUGUAUAUUGUCCUUAAGAUGACACAUGAAUUUAAAAUGCAUAGUGUUUGGAUUAUUCAUGAGAGCCCCGCAAGAACGAUGUCCCAGGGGUUUUUGCCAGGAACAUGCCUGAGAUUGUAGAUAAGAAUCAAGCAUCUGGGGCUGCCGCACAAUGGAAAACUCCAGCACUCCAUGGAACUUUUCCAUCUGCAGCAGUCGGAGGAUUUGCCUGAGAACAUACGCGGCAUGAAGACACUCUCAGCCCUCAAGGGCACCCAGUCAGCGCUGUUUAAGGACGGUUUUUCUGUUCACAGCAUACUUCAUGAUUACAGCUUCACUCCAUUGGAUACAACUAUGCUACCUGCGGAUGCAAUGAAGCCCUAUACCCGUGCCUGAAGUCAGGAGCACAGGACACUGGGAGUCUGUCUCAGCGCAGUAACUGCUACAUGGUACGCUCCACAUGGUAUCCUCUCCACCUGAGCCCUCCUCAUCCCUCGCCCCCUCUCCACACCUCACCCUCUCCACACUGUAUUAUCUCCCACUGCAAGCAACGCAGAGGACACAGAGGUGCAGCUGAAGUGAAGGCAGGCCAGUUCUUUUCCAAUUCACUCUUAUGAAAAUGUGUUAAAUCCCGUUAAAUGCACCGACCUGAACUGAAAUGAUGAUAUCAGUAAAUUUGUUGUUGUCAUCUGAUGCCCACACAGAUCUCAGCACAUGUUUUGGGAAAGGCUGCAGUGUUCAAGGAGUACUAGAAAUGUUCUUUCUGAGUGGACUGGCCAUGAUAAGCCAAAGAAUAUUAUAGCCGAUAGGGAUAAAUCAUGGUUUUCCCACUGCGCGGUUGCCUGGUGGAGAUUAUUCCAGCCUUUAUUUACAGCUACAAAAAUAAUCCUGCCUCAAGGAUUUUAGGAAGCAACCACCUCCUGCCUAAAGAACUACACUGCAUUGUUGACUUGCCAGCUAGAAACCAGACAUGAGUCGUGCAGGGAAGUUCCCUUUGAACGGCUUGAAUUGUUGUCACUAGAGGGUGCUAAAUGCCCCUCAAAAAGGCCUUUAGAGAGAAUACUAGUGUGCCUAAUUCUUGAUUUAAAUUCCUUGAAUUGACAUUAUUUUACAAAGUGGUCUCAUUUUUUACUUGUUAAAAUUAAGAUCUAACAUUUAUAAUGCAGAAAUGGUGUUUUUUUUUGAAAAAUUUGGAUUGUUCAUUAUUAUAGAACAUAAAGAAAUACACGUUUUAGGAGCAAACAUGAAUUACACAGAUCUGAAUAUAAGAUUAAAGGCAUAAAUCUGGGGGGGUGAGAUUUGUCCAUGGAAAUUGUAUAAUUGUUUUAUGCCACUGUUAAUGAUUUUAAAGCCUGAAAAAUUUACCACUUUACAAUAAUUUUAGAUUGUUCAAUAUGUUCCCAAAUGUGAGUUGCAUCAAAUUCGGUAAAUGUAGAGUAUGUUUGUUUUCUCUGUACACAAUACUGACGUCAGUGCUAGUGCCUGCCUAAACUCAGACACCAGUAGAUCCUUUUCCAGAACUAAGUGUUAUAGGAGGAAUAUGGAUUAUACUGUAAUAUAUCAGAUGUGAAAAAAGCCUCACGGUCCCUUCCUUUCUCAAAAAAAACGUGUAGUAUUUUGGAAUAUGCAUGGAGUAUAGCACUUCUAAAAAUGGUACUUUAUGUAUAUAUGAAGUAAAAUAGGCCUUAAAACUUAAUAUACAGAUUUCCUUGAAAAUAAUCUUAUUAUACAUUUACACUGACUUUUUGGUCAUCCAAACAUUAUGCACUUAAGCAAAAAGAAAUAUAACCAAUUUUGCAACUUUCCUCUUCCUGCCUUUGCUUCUACUUAAAAAUAUCUGCAGUAUUUCCUUUUCUCGCCGCUUCCACUUUGGUUCAUAUACCAAGGAAUCGUGAGGUCAAUGGGUGACAGUUGUUUGUCUGUGUUCACGGCUGUCGGGCGGGGCUGGGUGUGGGUAAGGCUCUGACCGACAUCUGAAGAGGCUUCACCCACUGCGGUUUAGGAUACAUUUUCCUCUCGCUCUGCCAGUAGAACAGGGAGGCUAGUUUUCAAUGUGUUCUACAGAAGGAUAAUUAAGGCAGUGUGUCACCUGCUCGUCUGCUAUUUUUAAAAGGAAACAAACAUAACCUUUGCAUGUGAGAGGCAUUGCAAACUAGAUGGGAGGAGGCCCGGACCCUGUAACAGUCGUACAUUCCGGUCCCAGCUUCGCUGGGGUGCAACUGCAGAUAAAAGACGCUGGCUCGACAAAAAGCGCCCCUGGGCUCUGCAUUGCCAGCAUGCACAAUACGAAUUGCUAAUGAUGAGCUGGCUUAGGUAGGAACUGAGGACCCUGAGUGCAGGGCUAACCUCUGCUUCACAGGAGGGGUCCACUGGCGCGCGCUGGAGGCGGGGAGCCUUCGUGAUAUUUCUCCGAAGGGAAGAGUCCAUGCAGCAUCCUGAUAACAGGGACCUUGGCUUCAUCCCCAACUGCUCGGUGACCCCGAUGCGUCAUUUAAUUCAUUUGUGCCAAUAUUCCUUUUUCAAUCAACCAGUAACUUUGCAGGUUUGUUCAAAGAAGAAAUUAAAAUGCAUUGGAGAUGGAAGGCAGCCAUCUUCCCGGAGCCCCAGUGCUGACACUGGGAGGGGAACCCCAGGAUUCCCUCAUGACUGUGUCAGUGAUGGCCCUCAACAAGCACUUACUGAAUGAGUGAAUGAAUGAAUGAAUGAAUGAAUGAAGCCGGCCACAGAGCCCAGGAGUAUCAGGGGAGAGCAAUACUGGCUGUGUCAGUGGCUAGUCCAGGAGAGCCCUUCAAGAGCCCAGAGUUCGACUUGAACUUGGGACUCCCCUGGGAUGGGUGAGGUUCUCUCAACAGCAGUUGACAGGAGGGAACUGGGACAGGCCCAGCCAGUUUCAUUCAGUCCAGCCAGCUGUGGCUCCUCUUUAGGAAUGUGGCCAGGCCCAGCUGUGGCCAAAGCACCAGCCAGUCCCUCAGUUCUGAACAGAACGUGCCCAGCAUCAGUGCCUUCAUUUGUUUUUAAACUGCCUGCUGACCAUCCACAAAGUUAAGAUGACAGCUGGGACUUAAGUUGUGAGGAACCAGUGGCUCCCCCAUCACUCUCUCUCACACACACGCACAUGCACACACACAGAGACACACAGACACACACACAUGCACACACACAGAGACACACAAACACACAUGCACACAAAGACAGACACAUAUAAACACACAUAUACACACAUGCACACACAUAUAUACACACAGACACACAGGCAAACACAGACACACAAUGGAUGGUAUCGAUAUCUAUGAACAGAUGAGAGAGAGAGACAGAGCAGGAGGUCAUCUGCUCCCCACCCCUCUUCUCCCCACUGUCACCACCUCUCUCCCAAGUCUAGCUGCAGGCCCUGUGAGCUGUGGAAGUGGCUUUUUUAAGCUGUCUUCUUAGAUUGAGUCAUUGGGCAGUGAGGAAGGUAAAUUUUCUCUAAGAAGCCUCCCAAAUCUGUAUCUUAUGGGAUUUCCGUCUCAAUAAUUGAGCUAAUAGUACCUGUAAGCAAGUGGAUAGUCAAUAAAAAAAAAAUACCGGCUGUAAGAACGAAUGAAUGAAUGAGUGGAUGAGUGGAUGAGUAUACAUCCUCUAUUUUGCUGGCAUCAUGAUUAUUUUACAGCAGAUUUAUCUGGAUUUCAAUAUAAAAUAAGAGCUCCCAUUUGUAUACAACUUAGUCCUUGUAAUUUUCCAAAGUAACUCUGAUUAAAAUUAUUUCCAGCCAAACUAUUUAGGCAACUGGGUUGGUUUCACACGUACUUAUCAGAAACCAUUAGAAUGGUAUAUUGAUUGCAUUUCUAGACAUUUGCCAUACCACCAUGGCAACUGUAUUUCCCAAGAUGGCCCAGUAGGAUGUCCCAUCAUGCAUAACCUUCUAUAAAGUGACAUUGACUUUGCUUCCAUCAGAAAGUGAGGUCCACGUUCCCACUCCUUGAAUCUGAGUUGGGCUGUGACUACAGCAGAAGUUCAGCUAUGUGGCUUCCAAGGCUACCUUGGAAAGGUGAUAGAGCUUCCACCUGAUUUUCUUGGGAACAGCCACUCUUAAACCUCAGCCACCAUACGGGGAGAAAGCCCAAGCCAUGUGACGAGGCCAUUUGUAGGUGUUCCAGUCAUCAGUCCCAGCCCACAGCCAGCAUUAACCCCCAGAGGUAUAAAUGAAGAAACCAAGAUCACUCCAGCCCCAACCGGCACUUGACUGCAAACCUAUAAGAGACUCCAAGCAAAUAAUAUCUAUCUCAGCCCAAUCAAGCCCUGGAACCAUGAGAGAUUCUAAAUAAUAAAGUGAUCAUUGUGAUUUUAAGCCACUGAGUCCUGCAGUGAGUUGUUAUAUAGCAACCGGGCAUCGGCAUACCAUCAGAAGAUUCCUUAAGAAGAAACUUUUGCAACGUUGCUACAGCAGAAAAUAUUCCUUCUGUAUGAUCAUUCAUCCAUUCAUCAAUCUUGAUUGGCAUUGCCUAUGUGCUAAGCAUUGUCGGUCACUGGAGGUGCAGAAAAGAAGUGAAGCAGUAUUCAGCCAAACAAACAACUUGCAUAUUGGAUAGAGAGAAAAAUAUGCCAAAAUUACAACAGUAUUUUGACCCAACAGAAAGGACAUAAGAAGGGAACAUCAACAGUUCCUUCCUAUUCUUUUCCACCCUUUUUCUUUCUAGGCUCAUUAAAUGUAGAGGUGCCUCAGGGUCACUUUGCCCCAUGAGAGUAGAUACCCUCCUCUCCCAUCCCUAACUUUGGUCUUCACUCUAUGCCUGAUACCAGCAGCUCCCCAGGCUCCUCCAUGCUGUUGGCACCCCAUUCCCAUUCUCUGGAAACAUCUCAGCCCAUCAACCUCAGAUUACUUUCCCAAGGAGAUGUGAGAAAACUUCAAUUUUCCCCUUUGUGACUUGCAGAGAAAUAGGGGUGGUAAAUGAGAAGCAGAGGGAGAGGGUGGGGAUUCAUUACCUUGAGUUACUAAAGAGAAAAGCUCUAGUGUUUAGAAGGUGCUGUUAUUAUUUUCUCUGAAACAUUAGCUCCUAGAAAUCAGAGGCUCUGUCCCUAGCAUGGUCUCUAAGGCUUCCAGGACGCCCCAGGGGCUUCCCUCAGUCAAUUUUGACUCUAAUGAGAGCCAUCUGGAAGGCUGCAAUGGUGGGCCUGGCUGAUCACUGGAGGGGCCUUCGCUGUGGGCACAGGGACGUGCACAGGUUCACAGAGUGUGUCUCCGUUUCUGGGAACCAUGGUCCUGUGUGCUCCUUCCCCAAAGAAAGCAGGAGAAAGAAAAACCACAGUCCUGAGUGGGAUUCUCCCCAAACAUCUAAAAAGCUUCUUUAAAGAAGUCAAGUUAUCAUAAUUAAACUCACAUAUGGAAUGCCUAUAGACAACGUGUUGCUCUUCCAAUCCCAGGGAGCUAGGACACCCAAAACUCACCUCCCAGACGGAGCUAGGAUUUGAGAUACUGGAUUCCACAUUACUUAAAGCUGUUCGAGCUUUUCAUCAGGAAUGGAAAGCAUUAAUGCGUCUCACACGUCACUCUCUGUUUCAUGGAAUUCUUACACUGGGGAGCUCUUUUUAUUUUACUAUUUUUCUUUAACAGCCAGAACACUGAGAAGUUUGCAAAGAAAUUUUUCAGCUGCCUUUAGUGACCCUUAACUCAAGAGGUUUUGCCUAAUCUGUAAAUUGGAGUUGAAAAUAUUUCAGUACUUUUGGAGUGGGGAGCUUUUUGUCUUUAAAAGAGUGGAACGACACUAACAAUAGGGCUAUACAUACCUUGUGCUUCUUUGUCAGUUACUGCAAACCAAAACCAGAUGUGAAGUAUCAGCGGCUACCUCGUAGUGACCCAUGGAAGUUGAGGCUAAUCCAUAUCAUUCUUAAUAACUCAAAACUGCCACCUUUUAACCACCUAAUUUUUUUCUCACUUACAAAUGCAAAAAAAGGAAUUGACAGUACACAUUGAAAUCGAUUUUCCCCUGACCACUUACAGAUUUUCUCCUAUAAGAGCCAGGAAUAAAAGCUCACUCCAUUAUAUCAAGCAGCCAUCAUCUGAGUAUGCUUUAGUUUAGGUGAUCAUCACCUUUAACAAACCAAGAUCUGGAAGGAAGAUUUCUGAUCUUUAACAAACCAAGAUUUGAAAACUAGAUAUUCCUGUCAUGACCUUUUCCCAACAUUCAGUAUGUAAGGGAUUCACUGGAUUAUUAGACUGCUUGUAAAUGUAAGAAAACAUAGAAGGUUUAGUGUGAAGGAGUUAGCAACCUAACAAAUGUUUCCCCCUGAAUUUUCAAUAACCUUCCUGAAUUUAAAGGUAAUGAAUAUAAAUGAAGAACAAAAUCAAUAGAUAUAGGAAUGAUUCACAACCUCCCAAAUGAAUAAAUCAAUCAUUCCACCCUACAUUUGAACAUUCAAUCAAUAUUUUGUCUAUUUACUAAAUCUAAGAGGAACUACUUUAACAUAAAACUAAAUAUGAAAUUAUUUCCAGCAUUGAAUAUUGUGUUUUGCCUUAGAGCAGGCACAAAGUGGAAUGCCUAUGGGUACAAAGCUAGGCAUUGAUUGAUGUUUAAUACCUACAAAUACAGCAAUUACACUGUCAUGCUACACGAGACUUCCUAUUCCUACACUGAAAUUAGACUGCACAUAUGUAGGGAUAAAAGAUAAGACACAAUCAUAUCAUAUUUCCUCAAAUCUAAGACUUUGGGUGGUAAGAUGUAAAGCACAUCAUGAUUUAAAGUAUCACUAGGAAAGAAAAAACAAUUCUGCCAAUGAAAAUUCACCGUAAUACUUUCUAAUCAAUCAAUUUUAAGAUACAUCCCAAUUUUUAAGCAAGAAUAAAUGUGUUAAAAUUAACACAAAUUGGUACACUUGUGAUACAACAGAAGCACUAAAAUGUCACAGCAAUAGACCACAGGGUUUCUCAACCUUGGCAGCAUCAACAUUUUGGGUUGGUUAAUUAUCUGUUGUGGGGGCUGCCCUGUGCAUGGCAGGAUGUUUGCUAGCAUUCCUGGCCUCUACCCACUAGAUGCCAGUAACACCUCGCAGACUCCAAUUAUGACAACCAAAACUGUCUUUAGACAUGGCCAACUGUCCCUAAAGGUGCAACCAAAAACUGUCCCAGUUGAGAACCACUGGAACAGAGCAAUUCGGUUUUAUCAGCCUUGUAAUAUAAUUGUGUGUGUGCACUGUGUGCAUGACAGACUGUCAGCCUAAUGGAAGGUAUAUUGUCAGAUGGGAUAGAUUGACCUGAAAAAAUCACAUAAACCAACAGCUGGUACAUAUACAAGAGUGUGUCCUGCCCAUCCUAACCCACACAAUGCAAAAGAACCUGGAUGACCACGAGUCACCAUCACAGGAGUUUACUAUCCAUAAGUGUAAACCAUCCAAGAAAAGUGAAAACAGAUUAAAGAAAAUAAAAAUAAAUAAACCACCACACAAUAUUUGGGCCUAGCCAGAUAACAACAAUGAAAAAAUGUAAUAUUUUGAAGUAUUGGCAAGAAUGUGGAGGAAAAAGCAUUGACAUUCGUGUAUAAUGGGAAUAAAAUAAUUUAUCCUUUGUCUCCGCAAUUGAUAUUCUAGAAAUCUAUUUUUUAGAAAUACUCACAAUAGACAGUUAUAAGUACAAAGGAUGUCUGCUAUUACACUGCUCAGUAACAGUAAAAUAUGAAAAUACACUGUACGUCUUUCAAUCAGAUAUUGAAUAAUUAUACUACACAGUAUUAAGAAUGAGAUAGAUAUUAAUGUACUGCAUAGAAAAUAUUCAAAGUAUAAUAAGUUUUAGAAAAUUAUCACAUAUGUAUAUUAGCAUAUGCAGAGAAAACAUCUUAAAAUACAAAUUUCAGUUUUGAGGUUUGGAUCAUGGAGUAACUGCCCCCUUUUCAAGUCAAACAGUUGAGAAAAUUUAGGAUAAAACAAGUGUGUGCUACCUUUGUAAUCAGAUAAAGUAUUUUAAAAUAAUUCACAUUAUAAUAUAGAAAUACUGAAAUGCCAAGAAAAUUUAAAUAUAUUAAUUAAAACCUACGGGCCAGGCGCAGUGGCUCACGCCUGUAAUCCCAGCACUUUGGGAGGCCGAGGCAGGCGGAUCAUGAGGUCAGGAGAUUGAGACCACCCUGGGCAACAUGGUGAAACCCUGUCUCUACUAAAAAUACAAAAAUUAGCUGGGCAUGGUGGCGUGUGCCUGUAAUCCCAGCUACUCAGGAGGCUGAGGCAGGAGAAUCGCUUGAACCAGGGAGUCGGAGGGUGCCGUGAGCCAAGAUCAUGCCACUGCACUCGAGCCUGACAACAGAGUAAGACUCCGUCUCAAAAAAAAAAAUAAUAAUAAUAGGCUACCAAUUAGACUUUAUAGAAUACAUAAAUAUAUUAAUAUAGCUACAAAGAGGUUGAAGCUUAUUCAUUGAGACAAGAGUAUUUAUUGAGCAUCGACUUUAUUAAAUACACUGUUAGUAAGAUAACAAGUGAAACUUGUUAAAAAAAAAGAAACUAGGACAAAAGAAAUUUGAGUUGAGUUCCCCAAAAACAGGGAAUAUUCAGAUUGUAGGGGAAAUUGGGUAAAGGAUUUGUUUCAGCAUGAAAGGAGCAAGGAGCAAAGAAACUAAAUGGGAGGUUAUGCUGAGAAGUAUAUCAGUAUGAGGAAAUAUCUUGACAUCUACAGACAAAUAUUUGUUGCCAAUUCAUUUUGGGCAUUGAGGAUUCACAAGAAUAAUUAAAAACACGUAAUAUAAAAUCCUUCUGAUUAGAGCACAUUUUAUGGCACUGCAUAAAGAGAUGGCUGUGGGAGUCAUUUAUAUUUUAAUACUAACUUGAACAAGGCUUGGUUCUGCAAAUAAAACAGAAGAGUAAAUAUGAAGUGGAGCACAUAAUAAUGUUACUGUUUCUGUGGGUGAGCUUCCAUAGGAAAGAGGCAAAGGCAUCAAUCUCAAAAAGUUAGAAAAACCCAAAGAAAGAAGAAGAAAAAUAACAAAUGAGAACAAAAUUGAGAAAAUUGUAAAUAAUAUGGUAGAGAAGAUAAACAAAACCAAAUCUGGUUCUCUGAAAAGAUUAGUUAUGUGUAAGUCACUGGUGAUUACAGAGAGAAAAGAGGGAAGGUUAAAAUAACCAAAGUCAACAAUAAAAAGGGGGCUAUUACUACAGAUGCUGUAGACAUUGGAAGGAUAAUAGAAUAUUAUGAUCAAUUUCCUAUCAAUAAAUGUGAAAAAUUAGUUGAAAUACAUAAUUGGAAAAUAUAAUUUACCAAAACUGUCAAAAGAAAAAACACAAAACCUGAACUCCUAUAAUUAUUAAAGACAUUGAUUGAAAAAUCUCAGACCUCUUAAAGGACAACUCCAAAAAUAAAAAAAUAAAAAAAAGAAAGAAAGUUCCAGGCCAGACGGAUUUAUCAGCAAAUUCUAACAUGCAUUUAAAAAAAAAAGGAUGCCACUCUUACAUAAGCUUUUCAGAUAAAAGAAAAGAAAGCUUGAUACCAAAAUGUAGCUAGAAAAUUAUUUAAAAAGGAAAAUUAUGGGUCAAUUUCAUACAUAAACAUAGAUGCAAAAUCCUAAAUAAAAUUCUAGAAAACAAAACCCAACAGUAUAUACGACAAUAAUAUAUAUUGUGAACAAACUGGAUUUAUUUUAAGAAUGAAAGCUUGUUUCAAUCAAAUAAUCAAAUUUACAUUGUAAAGAAAAUUUAUAUAACUUUAAACAAAAGAAGAAAAGCACUUAAUAACAUUCAACAUUCAUAUUAAAAAUUCUUAGUAAAUUAGAAAUAAAGAGGAAGUUUAUAAAUCCUACAAAUUGAUAAAAGGAAUCUACCGAAACCUACAGUAAACCACACAUUUUCAUGUCAAAACUUUAAAAUUUAAUCAUUUGAAGUUGGGGGAAAAGACAAAGAAGCCCCACAUAUUACCGCAUUUGUCUGAAAUUGAAUUGGCAGUCUUAGUUAGUAAAGAAGGCAAGGAAAUGAAAUGCAAUGUUAAAGGAUUGGGAAAAAGUAAAUAAAACUUUAUUUACAGAUGACAUCAUUUUUUUACACAGAAUUUCCAAGAGAAUUUGGAAAUAAGUCAUUAGAAUUAAUAAAUGAGUUUUAAAAGUUUGCUAGAUACAAGGUCAAUAUAGAAUUUUAGUUUUAUAUAUCAGCAUAAACAUCAAUAGAAAUCAAAAUUUUUAAGUGAUACUGUUUUCAUUAGCAUUAAAAAUACCUUACAAUAUGGACAUAAAUCUAACAUAAUACGUGCAGAACCUCUACACCAAAAACUACAAAAUAUUAUUAAAAGAAGACCAAAAUAAAUGGAUAGAUAUAUUCAUGGAUUGAAAAACUUAAUAAUCAAAGGUAGAAUUUUCUUCAAAUUGAUCAAUAGAUUCAAUGCAGAUGCAUUCAAUAUUUCAACAAAGUUUUUGUGAAACUUGAGUGAUUCUAAAAUAUGUAUGGAAAUGCAGAGUCAAAAACAGACAAGAUGCUCUUAAAGAAGAGUGAGAAAUACAAAAGAUUAUCAGAGACUAUUACAAACUGGAAAACCUAGAGGAAAUGGAUACAUUUCUGAACACAUACAACCUGCCAAGAUUGAAUCAGAAAGAAACUGAAAACUUAAACAGACCAAUAACAAGUAAUAAGAUUGGAUAGGAAAAAAAAUCUCCCAACAAAGAAAAGUCAAGGACCAGAUGGUUUCACUACUAAUUCUACCAAACUUAGAAAGAAGAACUAAUACCAAUCCUCACCAAGCCAUUUCAAAAAAUUAAAGAGGAGAGAAUUCUUCCUAAUUCAUUCUAUGAGGCCAACAUUACCCUCAUAACAAAAUCAGACAAGAACACAACAAAAAAGAAAACUACAGGCUGAUAUUCCUGAUGAACAUCACUUCAGUUCAGCAUGGAUACAGGCCAAUAUUUCUGGUGAAUAUAAGUUUUCUAGUAUUUUGUUCAGCAAAAGCUAUCAACAAAAUAUUAGUAGCCUGAAACCAACAGCACAUCAAAAAGAUAAUGCACCAUGGUCAAGUGGGAUGUAUCCCAGAGAUGCAAGGAUGGUUCAACAUACACAAAUCAAUAAAUAUGAUACAUCACAUCAAUAGAAAAAAACAAAAACCAUAUGAUCAUAUCAAUAAAUGCAGAAAAGGCAUCUGAUAAAACUUAACAUUGUUUCAUAGUAAAAGCUCUCAACAAACUAGGUACAGAAGAAACAUACCUCAAUAUAUUAAAGUCCAUACAUGAUUAACCCACAGCUAACAUUAUACUGAACGGGGAAAGGCGGAAAGUCUCUCCUCUAAGAACUGGAACAAGACAAGGAUUCUCAUUUUUAUCACUUCUAUUCAAUAUAGGACUGGAAGUCUUAGCCAGAGCAAUCAGGCAAGAGAAAGCAAUAAAGGUCAUCCAAACUGGAAAAGAAGUCAAAUUGUCCCUCUUUGGAGAUGACAUGAUCUUACAUCUAGAAAAACCUACAGACUCCACCAAAAAACUCUUAGGUUUAAUUAAAAAAUUCAGUAAAGUUGCAGGAUACAAAAAAAUCAGUAGCAUUUAUAUACCCAAUAAUGCACUGGCUGAGAAAGAAAUCAAGAAGAAAAUCCCAUUUACAAUAGGUAUAAGGAAAAAAUAUCUAGGAAAAAAAUUAACCAAGGAAGCGAAAAAUCUCUACAAAAAAACUACAAAACACUAAUGAAAGAAAUGGAAAAGGACACAAACAAAUGAAAAGACACUGCAUGGUCAUGGAUCAGAAGAACUAAUAUCAUUAAAAUGACCACACCACCCAAAUAAAUCUACAGAUUCAAUGCAAUCCCUGUUAAAAUAUUAACGUCAUUUUUCACAAGAAUAGAAAAAAACAAUCCUAAAAUUUAUAUGAAAGCAAAAAGGAGCCUGAAUAGCUAAAGGAACCCUGAACAAAAACAACAAAACUGGGAGCAUCACAUAACCUGACUUCAAAAUAUAUUACAAGGCUCUAGUAACCAAAAGAGCAUGAUACUAGUAUAAAAACAGACGCAUAGACCAAUGGAACAGAAUUGAUAACCCAGAAAUAAAUCCACAUAUUCACAGCCAACCGACUUUCAACAAAGGCAUCAGUAACAUACAUUGGGAAAAAGACACCCUCUUCAAUAAAUGGUGCUGGAAUAAUUGGAUAUCCAUAUGCGAAAGAAUAAAACUGGACCUCUAUCUCUUGCCAUAUAUAAAAAUCAACUCAAGGUAGAUGAAAGACUUAAACUUAAGACCCCAAAUUAUAAAACUAUUAAAAGAAAAUAGAGAAAACAUUUCAGGACAUUGAUCUAAGCAAAGAUUUGAUGGCUAAGACCUCAAAAGCACAGGCAAGAGAAAACAGACAAAUGAGACUAUAUUAAACUAAAACACUUCUGCACAGCAAAGGAAAGAAAACAACCAGCAGAGUGAAGAGACAACCUGUUGAAUGGGAUAAAAUAUUUGUAAACUGUUCAUCUAGUAAGAGAAAAUCCAGAAUAUACACAAAACUCAAACAACUCAACAAUUAAAAAGAAAACUUUUACAAAGUGGGCAAAGAACGUCAAUAGACAUUUCUCAAAAGAAGACACAGGAAUGGCCAUCAAGCAUAUGAAAAAAAAUACUCAAUAUCACUAAUCAUCAGGGAAAUGCAAAUCAAAACCACAAUGAGAUAUCAUCAUACCUUAGUUAGAAUGGCAAUUAUUAAAAAGACAAAAAAUAACAGAUGCUGGCCAGAAUGCAGAGAAAAGGGAACUCUUCUACACUGUGAGUGGGAAUGUAAAUUAGUACAGCCACUAUAGAAAACAGUAGAGAUUUCUCAAAAAACUAAAAAUAAGACUCAAUAUAAUCCAGAUAUCUCACUACUGGGUAUUUAUCUAAUGAAAAAGAAAUCAGUAUAUCAAAAAGAUACUUGCACCCACAUGUUUACCGCAGCACUAUUUACCAUAGCAAAGACAUGAAAUCAACCUAAAUGUCCAUCCACAGAUGAAAUGGUAAACAAAAUGUGGUACAUAUACACAAUGGAAUACUAUUUGGCCAUAAAAAUAAGGAAAUCAUGUCACUUGCAGCAACAUGGAUGGAACCGGAGGUCAUUAUGUCAAGUAAAAUAAGCCAAGCACAAAGGACAAAUACCACAUGUUCUCACUCCUAUGUGGGAGCUAAAAAUGUUAAUGUCAUGGAGAUAGAGAGUGGAAUGAUGGUUACCAGAGGCUGAGCAGAGAGUGGGAGUGGAGAGGAAGAGAGUUUGGAUAAUGGGUACAAACAUACAGUUAGAUAGAAGGAAUAAGUUCUGAUGUUGUAUAGCAGAGUAGCUGACUAUACUUAACAAAAAUGUAUUGUAUAGUUCAAAUCAGCUAGAAAAGAGGACUUGCAAUGUUCCUGACACAUAGAAAUGAGAAAUACCCAAGGUGACAGACACCCCAAAACCCUGACUUGAUCAUUACACAUUCUAUGCAUGUAACAAACUAUCACAUGUACCCCAUAACUAUGUGUGUGUGUGUAUCUAUCUAUCUAUCUAUCUAUCUAUCUAUCUAUCUAUCUAUCUAUCUAUCUAUUUAUAGUAUCCAUUUUUAAAAGGCAAAUCUUAAAAAAAAGAGUGAGGUAGGACAACCUGCUCUACUAAACAUUUUUAUAAAGGCACAGCAAUUAGGUCAGAAUAGUGUUCAUGCAGGUAGAAACAAAUCAGACAAUGGAAAAGAAAGGAAAGUUCAGAAACAGAUUCACACAUAUAUGGACACACUUGAUUUUUGACGAAGGUGGCAGUUGAUUUUUUUUUACAAAGGGGCAGAGUAGUUAAAAAAGGGAGAAACUGUUGGUAAAUGAUGCUGGAAAAUGAGAAAUCCACAUGAGAAACAGAAACUUGAGAAGUAACUCAUAACAUCACAAAAAUUGAUGUCAGAUAAACUAUAAAUCUAAAUAUGACAAGCAAAAACUAUGAAGUUUCUGGAACAUAAUAUAGAAAACUAUAUUCCUGACUUGGGAAGGGAAAGAUUUUAAAAACAAGGCACAGAAACACUAAGAGUAAAGGAAAGACUAAUAAAUUGAACUGCAUUAAAAUAAGAAAAAAAUUAGGAACUUAAAUUUUCAUCAAAAGACACUAUUAAGAGAAUCAAAAGGCAAUGCAUGGAGUGGAAGAUGAUAUCUUUAACACAUCUAAUCUACUAUUCAUAUCCAGAAUAUGUAAAGAACCCCCAUCAAUCAAUAAGAAUACACACAAGUCAGAAUACACACAAGGAAAAACAGGGAAGAAACUGCACAGGCAGUCAUAAAAGAGGAUAUCCAACUGCUCAUUAAAAGGUCUUCUACUUCAUUAGUAAAGCAGGAAGUACAAAUUAAAACCUGAAUGAAAUAACACCACAGAUACAUCAGAAUGUCUAAAACAAAGACUAACAAUGUUGGUGAAGAUGUGGAGCAAUAAGAACUCUCACACACAGCUGGAGUUUAAAAAACAUCCUUAUUUAUCCAUCAGGGCUGUAAUAAGAGGCAUAUAGCAUAUUCAAAUAGGUAAGUGAACAAAAUUUAAUGAAAGAAUUUACAACGGUAAAGGUAGAAUUUAGUAAAAACCAAAGGGUGAGGAAGUCCCCCAGGCUAGCAAGAACAGGAAGCCAUUACUACCCUCAGGCCUACAAGGGCAAGGGAGGUAGCAGUCACGCAGCACCGGUAGCUGUGAACACAGGAGAGGAUAAACAAUAGGAGCUGUGGCCUUCCAUGGAGGGAAAAAGUCACUGCCAACCCAUGACCAAAGAGAGAAAGCUGGAGAAAAAAACUCCCCAAGCUCUCUCCUCCUACUCUCAGGCUUCCUUGUGGUGACUCUCAUUUGCUUAACCCAACAGAAGAUAGAGGACAAAGGAGCCCAUUUGAUGUAGUCGACAGAAGUCAAACUCCCAGGACAAGAGGAGCAGAGAAGGAUGGAGAAUGAAUUAGAGAAGUAAACAAAGAAAGUCGGCACAUCUACUGUCAUCAAAGACUGUGUAAUUCCACUAUUUAAUACAUGUACAAUAGAGAUGUGUGUAUAUGUGCACCAGAAGUCACCUACAAGAAUGUCCACUGCAGUAUUAUUCUCUCAGUUAAAUGCUAUAUCUGGCUGCACAACUAGAUUAGGACUGAGACCCUAACCACACAUGUAGAAGCAGGGAGAAAGAUGCAGUUGAGAAGCCCUUUGCCAUCUGAUAUGCUUCCAAACAAGGGAAACUCAGCUUGGACACUGAAAGCAUUUUGUAUAAAAUACUGUUUGUAUGAUAUCCCCAUGUCACCACACACACACACAUACAGACACACACACAUACACACACACACAACAAAAACAAAAAAAACUUCCAGGGUUACUUUUCUCCUCAGUUAGCAGGUCAAAACUUUUCACGUGUGAAAUACUUUUGCAAGGAGGCAGAUGAAACGGGGGAGAAGGGAUAACCUUGCCUUGCAGUCAUCUAUCAAUUCACUGCAAGGAAGGAACACAGAGCUUAGAUAUGAAGCAUCAGGAGUUCUUCCCAAGACCCUUCUUGUCCCUUGGGAAGAGCCAGGAGCUGGAGGGGAUGGCCUUCACUGAGAAGUGGCAUCAAAUUAGAACCUGCACAACAAAUAGGAACCAGCUACUUAAAGAUCCAGAGAAGUAGCCCUCUAGACUGAAGGAUCAGCUCCUCAAAUAUCCUUUUUGAUUUUGAACUCACAAGUUCAGGGGCAUCCGAGGAACAGACACAAGCCAGGGCUGAACAAUCUCAUCUGUGUCCAUGAGGUGGGCAAGAGCCAGAUCCUACUGAGGAGUUUGAACUUAAUCCCAAACAUGGCGGGAAGCCAUUGGGGCCAAAGAUGAAUUAGGGAUUGUCUGAUCUCCUUGACACGUUCUGAAGGUUUUGUGUACAGAAAAGGUUUGUCAACAUGCACAAAGGAAAGCUGGGAUAACCAAGCUAAGACGCUACCGCAUCAUUCUAGGGGACGGGUGACUCAUUCCAGGAGUUUCUGCAGGAAGACCUAUCAGGACUGGUGAUUGACUGGAGGCAGAGAGCACGAAAAAAGAACAAUCAGAGAUGAUCUGUGGUUUGUGGUUGUUGUGUAAUGUUAAGGCUUAACAACUGCGAAAAUAGUGUUUUUACUUUACAGAGAAGAAGACUUGAAGAAUACAAGAUUGGGGAGAGCAGAUCGGGAUUUGUACUUUAUAUCAGACGUGCUCAUAGAUAUACAUGUUGAGAUAUCAGUUGGGAGCUGGAUAUAUCAGGAUUCGAGACUGGGAAUCACCAGUUUAUAGAUGGUUUUUAAGCCAUGUGAUUGGAUCUCAUUUCUUAGUGGGGAGAAGUGAGAUAACAAAUAAAAGCCAAGAUUAAAGCUGAACCUUCAGCCUGCCCAUCACUUAGAAGCCCAGCAGGGACAGAAGAGCCAGCCGACAGCACAGAGUCGAGGAGGAGGAUUUCCGGGCUUCAGUGAGUGUGCAUCAGAGAUUCAUGGACACAACUUAAAGUAAGACCAGCCACACAGUUCCCUUCAUUUUCUCAAGCAACAUUCAGCAUCUCAAAGUGCGGCUACUACACACGGAGCCAAGCCCUGGUCCAGUUAUCACAAAACCUUACUAGAUAUGUCGAUUAUUAGCUGCAUUUUAUAGCUAAAGGUAGGCAGGCACAGAGAAGUUACGUCUCUUGCCCACAGUCACAGCAAGCAAACAGACCUCAGACCAAAGUCUUUCUAACUCCUUAUUUCACAUCUAAAACACUAUGUGACGCCACCUCCAAAAAAUGUGGGGGUUACUCUAGGACAAAAGAAGCUCAUGAAAGCAAAGAGAGAAGCAUAGAGCUUAAAUUUAGAACAAUAUUCAGGGUGAUUGGGAAAAAUAGCCUCCAUACAAAUAUAAUCGGUUCAUCACCAGGUGAAUAAAAUGAGAGAGGAACCUGGUACAAGUGAAGUUCAUUGAAUUUGCUUGCAAAAAAACAUAAUUCAAGUGUGGAAGUUUGGAAACUAAAAUAGUAAUCAGCUAAAGAAAUUUUCAGGCCAACUUAGACACAAUGGUGACAAAGCUCCCCUGAGGAGACAGGAACUAUACUACUUGCAACUCUAACUGAAUGGACUUAACUUAGCAAUUAAGAUCACCGUAAGUUUGAUCAGAUAAGUAUUAAAGGGUGUCUUGGGUACAUUUGCAGAUUCAGACACUCUUAGUUGUGAAAUUCUUCACCAAAAAUUUGCAACUUAUGGCUUGCACAUUAAAAACAUGAUAUGAAUGAAAUUCAGAUAUCUCUUGGUAAAUUUUAUAAUUAUUCCUCCCAUCAGCUAAAGUUCUCAGUAUGAAGGGUUAUAACUGAUGUCAUAUACAAUAACUACAAGCUGUAUCAUACAAAAAUUGAGAAUUUUCUAUUAUAGAAAGAGUUGCUUUAAUCUAAACCUAAAGUAGCAUCAAUAAUUUUUCGUAAGUGGUCCCCUUCCUAUGAGUAAGCCCCCAGGAAAAAUAAAUUGCUUUUAAGAAAUGCUGUAAGUAAGCUGUUUCAUAUAUAAGUUUUGACAAGAUCUGGCUACUUAAAUUACAAGAUAUAAAAUGAGAUUUGUACUUUUUCUCAAAUGUAAAAAAAAAGAUUUACUUCUGAAAUAAUGGUCUUUAUAAAAUAUGCAUUUUUGUUCCUUUUUCUUAUCAUAUCUAUAAAUUUACUAAUAAAAGAUUCUAUCU
rnacentral:lncRNA from 1 species